AGAGUUUGAUCCUGGCUCAGGAUGAACGCUAGCUACAGGCUUAACACAUGCAAGUCGAGGGGCAGCAUGGUCUUAGCUUGCUAAGGCCGAUGGCGACCGGCGCACGGGUGAGUAACACGUAUCCAACCUGCCGUCUACUCUUGGACAGCCUUCUGAAAGGAAGAUUAAUACAAGAUGGCAUCAUGAGUCCGCAUGUUCACAUGAUUAAAGGUAUUCCGGUAGACGAUGGGGAUGCGUUCCAUUAGAUAGUAGGCGGGGUAACGGCCCACCUAGUCUUCGAUGGAUAGGGGUUCUGAGAGGAAGGUCCCCCACAUUGGAACUGAGACACGGUCCAAACUCCUACGGGAGGCAGCAGUGAGGAAUAUUGGUCAAUGGGCGAGAGCCUGAACCAGCCAAGUAGCGUGAAGGAUGACUGCCCUAUGGGUUGUAAACUUCUUUUAUAAAGGAAUAAAGUCGGGUAUGCAUACCCGUUUGCAUGUACUUUAUGAAUAAGGAUCGGCUAACUCCGUGCCAGCAGCCGCGGUAAUACGGAGGAUCCGAGCGUUAUCCGGAUUUAUUGGGUUUAAAGGGAGCGUAGAUGGAUGUUUAAGUCAGUUGUGAAAGUUUACGGCUCAACCGUAAAAUUGCAGUUGAUACUGGAUAUCUUGAGUGCAGUUGAGGCAGGCGGAAUUCGUGGUGUAGCGGUGAAAUGCUUAGAUAUCACGAAGAACUCCGAUUGCGAAGGCAGCCUGCUAAGCUGCAACUGACAUUGAGGCUCGAAAGUGUGGGUAUCAAACAGGAUUAGAUACCCUGGUAGUCCACACGGUAAACGAUGAAUACUCGCUGUUUGCGAUAUACAGCAAGCGGCCAAGCGAAAGCGUUAAGUAUUCCACCUGGGGAGUACGCCGGCAACGGUGAAACUCAAAGGAAUUGACGGGGGCCCGCACAAGCGGAGGAACAUGUGGUUUAAUUCGAUGAUACGCGAGGAACCUUACCCGGGCUUAAAUUGCAGAUGAAUUACGGUGAAAGCCGUAAGCCGCAAGGCAUCUGUGAAGGUGCUGCAUGGUUGUCGUCAGCUCGUGCCGUGAGGUGUCGGCUUAAGUGCCAUAACGAGCGCAACCCUUGUUGUCAGUUACUAACAGGUCAUGCUGAGGACUCUGACAAGACUGCCAUCGUAAGAUGUGAGGAAGGUGGGGAUGACGUCAAAUCAGCACGGCCCUUACGUCCGGGGCUACACACGUGUUACAAUGGGGGGUACAGAGGGCCGCUACCACGCGAGUGGAUGCCAAUCCCCAAAACCUCUCUCAGUUCGGACUGGAGUCUGCAACCCGACUCCACGAAGCUGGAUUCGCUAGUAAUCGCGCAUCAGCCACGGCGCGGUGAAUACGUUCCCGGGCCUUGUACACACCGCCCGUCAAGCCAUGGGAGCCGGGGGUACCUGAAGUGCGUAACCGCGAGGAGCGCCCUAGGGUAAAACUGGUGACUGGGGCUAAGUCGUAACAAGGUA
rnacentral:rRNA from 1 species